rnacentral:rRNA from 2 species
GCUGAGAGUUUGAUCCUGGCUCAGAACGAACGCUGGCGGCGCGCCUAACACAUGCAAGUCGAGCGAUGAAGACUCCUUCGGGAGUGUAUGAAGCGGCGGACGGGUGAGUAAAGCGUAGGCAACCUGCCCUAAAGAGGGGGACAACCUGCCGAAAGGUGGGCUAAUACCGCGUAAGCUGUUAGAGUAAUGUCUAUCAGUAAAGGCUUCGGCCGCUUUAGGAUGGGCCUACGUCCGAUUAGAUAGUUGGUGGGGUAAAGGCCUACCAAGUCUGCGAUCGGUAACUGGUCUGAGAGGAUGAUCAGUCACACUGGAACUGAGACACGGUCCAGACUCCUACGGGAGGCAGCAGUGAGGAAUUUUGCGCAAUGGGGGAAACCCUGACGCAGCGACGCCGCGUGGAGGAUGACGUCUUUCGGGAUGUAAACUCCUGUCAGUGGGAACGAUAAUGACGGUACCCACAGAGGAAGCACCGGCUAACUCCGUGCCAGCAGCCGCGGUAAGACGGAGGGUGCAAGCGUUGUUCGGAAUUACUGGGCGUAAAGCGUACGUAGGCGGUUGAUUAAGUCAAAUGUUAAAGCCCGGAGCUCAACUCCGAGGAUGCACUUGAUACUGGUCGACUAGAGGGCGAUAGAGGAAAGCGGAAUUCCGAGUGUAGCGGUGAAAUGCGUAGAUAUUCGGAGGAACAUCGGUAGCGAAAGCGGCUUUCUGGGUCGCUCCUGACGCUGAGGUACGAAAGCGUGGGUAGCAAACGGGAUUAGAUACCCCGGUAGUCCACGCCGUAAACGAUGGAUACUAGGUGUAGCGGGUAUCGACCCCUGCUGUGCCGUAGCUAACGCGUUAAGUAUCCCGCCUGGGGAGUACGCACGCAAGUGUGAAACUCAAAGGAAUUGACGGGGGCCCGCACAAGCGGUGGAGGAUGUGGUUUAAUUCGACGCAACGCGAAAAACCUUACCAGGACUUGACAUGUAGAGAAUCUCUGUGAAAGCAGGGAGUGCCGCAAGGAGCUCUAACACAGGUGGUGCAUGGCUGUCGUCAGCUCGUGUCGUGAGAUGUUGGGUUAAGUCCCGCAACGAGCGCAACCCUCGAGUUUAGUUGCCAUCAGGUAAUGCUGAGCACUCUAGACUGACUGCCGGUAACAAACCGGAGGAAGGUGAGGACGACGUCAAGUCAUCAUGCCCCUUACGUCCUGGGCUACACACGUCCUACAAUGGGUAAAUAUAAAGGGCAGCGAAGCCGCGAGGUGAAGCGAAUCUCAUAAAAUUACCCUCAGUUCGGAUUGCAGGCUGAAACUCGCCUGCAUGAAGUAGGAAUCGCUAGUAAACGCAGAUCAGCAUGCUGCGUUGAAUACGUUCCCGGGCCUUGUACACACCGCCCGUCACACCACGAAAGAUUGUUCAACCCGAAGUCGGUGGGCUAACCCUCUGGGAGGCAGCUGCCUAAGGUGGGGCAAUUGAUUGGGGUGAAGUCGUAACAAGGUAGCCGUACUGGAAGGUGCGGCUGGAUCACCUCCUUUCUAGGGA